rnacentral:rRNA from 1 species
GAUGAACGCUGGCGGCGUGCUUAACACAUGCAAGUCGAGCGAUAAGUUUUGAAAAGAUUCUUCGGAUGAAAUUUAAAAUGGAAAGCGGCGGACGGGAGAGUAACGCGUAGGCAACCUGCCCCAUACAAAGGGAUAGCAUUUGGAAACGAAUAUUAAUACCUUAUGAAACUUAACUAGUGCAUGCUAGGUAGGUCAAAGAUUUAUCGGUAUGGGAUGGGCCUGCGUCUGAUUAGCUCGUUGGUGAGGUAACGGCUCACCAAGGCGACGAUCAGUAGCCGACCUGGGAAGGUGAACGCCCACAUAGGAACUGAGACACGGUCCACACCCCUACGGCCGGCCGCAGCGGCGAAUUUCGCACAAGGGGCGAAAUCCCGAUGCAGCUGCGCGGCUUGAAGUUUGUAGUCGCUUGGGUCCACACGUCCUGCUGUGGGUCAUCAACACUGCCCGCAACCGAGCUGAAAGCCCUUCCUGACCCAGUG